UCCGGUUGAUCCUGCCGGACCCGACUGCUAUCGAAGUGGGACUAAGCCAUGCUAGUCGAACGUCCUUCAACCAUGUGAGGGGCGAGGCGUACGGCUCAGUAACACGUUGUCAACCUACCCUGAAGACGUGGAUAACCCCGGGAAACUGGGACUAAACCACGAUAGACCAAGACCCCUGGAACGGAUCUUGAUCCAAAGGAAGGAUGAGCAUGUUCAUCUAUUCGCCUCAGGAUGGGACUGCGACCGAUCAGGUUGUUGGUGGAGUAAAAGCCCACCAAGCCUAUAACCGGUACGGGCUUUGAGAGAAGGAGCCCGGAGAUGGACACUGAGACAAGGGUCCAGGUCCUACGGGGCGCAGCAGGCGCGAAACCUUCGCAAUGCACGAAAGUGCGACGAGGCUACUUCGAGUGCCGUCCGCUGAGGAUGGCUUUUGUCAGGUCUAAAUAGCCUGGAGAAUAAGGGGAGGGCAAGUCUGGUGUCAGCCGCCGCGGUAAUACCAGCUCCCCGAGUGGUCGGGACGAUUAUUGGGCCUAAGCAUCCGUAGCCUGCUCCGUUGGUCUUCUGUCAAAUUCAACGGCUUAACCGUUGAGCUGCAGGAGAUACCGCGGGGCUAGGAGGCGGGAGAGGUAGACGGUACUCCAUGGGUAGGGGUAAAAUCCUCUGAUCCAUGGAAGACCACCAGUGGCGAAGGCGGUCUACCAGAACGCGCUCGACGGUGAGGGAUGAAAGCUGGGGGAGCGAACCGGAUUAGAUACCCGGGUAGUCCCAGCUGUAAACGAUGCGAGCUAGGUGAUGGAGUGGUUCCGUACCAUUCCCAGUGCCGCAGGGAAGCCGUUAAGCUCGCCGCCUGGGGAGUACGGUCGCAAGACUGAAACUUAAAGGAAUUGGCGGGGGAGCACCACAAGGGGUGAAGCCUGCGGUUCAAUUGGAUUCAACGCCGGA
rnacentral:rRNA from 1 species